rnacentral:rRNA from 1 species
UACGGGGGGAGCAAGCGUUGUUCGGAUUUACUGGGCGUAAAGGGCGCGUAGGCGGUCAGCACAAGUCAGUUGUGAAAUCUCCGGGCUUAACUCGGAAAGGUCAACUGAUACUGUGCGACUAGAGUGCGGAAGGGGCAACUGGAAUUCUCGGUGUAGCGGUGAAAUGCGUAGAUAUGACAUAGAACACCCAUUGCGAAGGCAGCUUACUACACGAUCAUUGACGCUGAGGCACGAAAGCGUGGGGAGCAAACAGG